GUCAAGAACUGAGAGACAGAGAUCAUUCCCUUCAGCUUCUGCAUCUUUAGUUUCUCCCUAAACAGUGAGAACAGACAGGCGUGACGUCAUGCACCACGUCCGACUGACCUGGAACAGCGUGUUAAGAAAAGCACCGAGGCUGUGUCUAGACUAGAAGGGAGAGAGCGGUAUCAUGACUGAUUAAUAAUGCCAUGUCUGCCAUGGGUACGGUUUAUGAGUUAUGUAUUUUUUUAAAUUUAUUCAUUUAUUACUAUUU